AUGCCGCGCCUCGGAGCGGGCGGGGGCGGGGCGGGCCGAGGGGCGGCGCGGAGGCCCCGCCGGAGACAUGCGCCCUGCUCCGCCCCCCGCCCCCCGCCCCCGGCCGCCCGGCGCAGCAGCGGAGCGGCGGGAGCGGAGCGCGGCGGCGGCGGAGGCGCCCAGGGGAGGGAGGGGCGGCGGAGCCGAGCCCACCGAGCGGAGCGCGCCGGCCGCCGGUGGUCGCCGCCAGCAUGCCCCGGCCCACGGGCCGCUCCGCCGCCAGCCACCCCCGCGGCCCUCGGCGGCCCGCGCUCGGCCCAAAGGCGCGGGAACCGCAGCCGGAGCCGGAGGCGGGAGCAGCGAGCCGGAGCCCCGGACGCCCGAAUGCAGGGUGAGCGCCGCCGCCCUGGCCCCUGGGGGCGGACGGGCCGGAGGACCCCGGGGGGAGGACACGGCGGGAAAGGAGGGGGCUUUCCGCGCUCUCUUGGUCGCGGGGUCCGUACGAGGGGCCACGAGCGGCGCUUAGCGCUGGCACCCCCCCAACUUGGGGACCUUCGGGGUAACUUCCCCGGGGCCAGCCCCUCCCUCCGUCCCCCUGCAUCGGGACCUGGCAACGCCGUCCCUGGGGGCUCUCAGGGGACGGGGGCGGGGCGGUCUGGAGAUCCCGAGCCCGCCCCUGCUCAGCGCAACCCGGAGGGGUCCGGAGGCCGCAGUCCCGCCAGGUUUCCCAGGCAGCCGCUUGGACGCGCCCUCGGCGUGGGGCAGGACUUGGGGGACCCACUGGGGACCAGUACGCGAGAGCACGCGAGUCGAAGCGGGGGUUGCACGAGCCGUGGGGGGGGAUUGGAACCCCGGGGGGUUGGGACUGUAGGGGCGGGGACUGGGGGGGCGUGCCGGAGAUGUCCAGGUCUCGCGGUGCGCGUCCCUCCCUGGGCAACGGCCAGGCCGGGCCCCGUGGAACCGAUCGGCUGCAGCGCGGGCGGAGACCAGCGUGGGGGCGGAAGCCGGGGCGCAGCCAGAGCCCGGGGAAUCCUUUCAAGUUCUGGGUUCUCUUUGUUGCGCAAUGGGGCCUCGCGGCCGCGCGGCCUCAUUGGCCCAGAGCCGUGA
rnacentral:lncRNA from 1 species